AGGUAAAGACUCCUAGAUCACACUGAUCACCUUCAGUAACACAGUCUUCCCCUGUGGGUGGCAGUUCCUCCCGUCUGAACUACCAGAUAAAUACUUCCUGCCAGACCUUCUUCUGUGCCUCCUGAAUCCACACUGAGGCCAGAGGUAGCCUGCCAGAGCCCUGGGCACUGACUUCCCUGUGCUCUGGCCUGGCGCUCCUUACAGGGAACAUCUCCAGCCAGGCCUGGCACACAUGCAGGGCAUCUGGACCAGACACUCACAGUGGGACACUCUUACGAUCUCCGGGGAUUAAAAGACAUAUGCAGCUAACCUUCCCGAGUCUGUUCCUGAGCCUGCCUCUGCAGCUCAUAGUCACAAAGGAAAUGCGCUAGCUGGCUGGUGGGAGACUCGGCAGUUGGCCUUGAACUCCCUUGACCUCCCAUGCCCAGACAAAGACUUUCCACUCCGUGCUACUGCUGAAGUCCAAGAUCAAUGAAGCAGCGGGGGAAGAACCAAUGCCCCUCCCAGGCAUUCUGCAGCCACCGUCUGGAUUGAUCUCCACACAGGUUGGAGGAGGUGCAUAACCGAAUUAAAAGCAUAAUAAAUUGAAGCCAACUCGUUCGAUUAA